AACGAACGCUGGCGGCAUGCCUAACACAUGCAAGUCGAACGAGACCUUCGGGUCUAGUGGCGCACGGGUGCGUAACGCGUGGGAACCUGCCCUUAGGUUCGGAAUAACUCCCCGAAAGGGGUGCUAAUACCGGAUAAUGUCUUCGGACCAAGGAUUUAUCGCCUUUGGAUGGGCCCGCGUUGGAUUAGCUAGUUGGUAGGGUAAAAGCCUACCAAGGCGACGAUCCAUAGCUGGUCUGAGAGGAUGAUCAGCCACACUGGGACUGAGACACGGCCCAGACUCCUACGAGAGGCAGCAGUGGGGAAUAUUGGACAAUGGGCGAAAGCCUGAUCCAGCAAUGCCGCGUGAGUGAUGAAGGCCUUAGGGUUGUAAAGCUCUUUUACCCGGGAUGAUAAGGACAGUACCGGGAGAAUAAGCUCCGGCGAACUCCGU
rnacentral:rRNA from 1 species